AAGGCAGGUGCUCAAGCAGAAGUCUGGAUAGCUAUGCUGGAUGCUGUAAGGCGGGUGCUCAAGCAGAAGUCUGGAUAGCCAUUCUGGAUGCUGUAAGGCGGGUGCUCAAGCAGAAGUCUGCAUAGCUAUUCUGGAUGCUGUAAGGCAGGUGCUCAAGCAGAAGUCUGGAUAGCUAUUCUGGAUGCUGUAAGGCAGAUGUUCAAGCAGAAGUCUGGAUAGCCAUUCUGGAUGCUGUAAGGCGGGUGCUCAAGCAGAAGUCUGGAUAGCUAUUCUGGAUGCUGUAAGGCAAGUGCUCAAGCAGAAGUCUGGAUAGCUGUGCUGGAUGCUGUAAGGCAGGUGCUCAAGCAGAAGUCUGGAUAGCUAUGCUGGAUGCUGUAAGGCAGCUGUUCAAGCAGAAUUCCGGAUAGCUAUUCUGGAUGCUGUCAGGCAGGUGCUCAAGCAGAAGUCUGGAUAGCCAUUCUGGAUGCUGUAAGGCAGGUGCUCAAGCAGAAGUCUGGACCAGCUAUGCUGGAUGCUGU
rnacentral:lncRNA from 1 species